UACGUAGGGUGCGAGCGUUAAUCGGAAUUACUGGGCGUAAAGCGUGCGCAGGCGGUGAUGUAAGUCAGGUGUGAAAUCCCCGGGCUUAACCUGGGAACUGCAUUUGUGACUGCAUCGCUGGAGUGCGGCAGAGGGGGAUGGAAUUCCGCGUGUAGCAGUGAAAUGCGUAGAUAUGCGGAGGAACACCGAUGGCGAAGGCAAUCCCCUGGGCCUGCACUGACGCUCAUGCACGAAAGCGUGGGGAGCAAACGGG
rnacentral:rRNA from 1 species